CACCACUCAAGCUAUGCUUGGUAUUGGGCGACGCGGUCCGCCGCGCGCCUCAAAUCGACCGGCUGGGUCUUCUGUCCCCUCAGCGUUGUGGAAACUAUUCGCUAAAGGGUGCCACGGGAGGUCACGCCGUAAAACAAGCCCAUUUCUAA
rnacentral:misc_RNA from 1 species